UACGGAGGGUGCAAGCGUUACUCGGAAUUACUGGGCGUAAAGCGUGCGUAGGUGGUUUGUUAAGUCUGAUGUGAAAGCCCUGGGCUCAACCUGGGAACUGCAUCUGUGACUGCAUCGCUGGAGUACGGCAGAGGGGGGUAGAAUUCCACGUGUAGCAGUGAAAUGCGUAGAGAUGUGGAGGAAUACCGAUGGCGAAGGCAGCCCCCUGGGUCGAUACUGACGCUCAUGCACGAAAGCGUGGGGAGCAAACAGG
rnacentral:rRNA from 1 species